rnacentral:lncRNA from 1 species
AAAUGGCCUCCUUCAAAGAGAUCAUCUCAACACUCCCAAGAAGAAAAGGCUGGACUGACUCAAAUAACGACCUUUUUUUGUAUCGAGGCUUCUGGUGUUACUCGUUUUUCAUUGAAGGAGUGAUGUCGGCUCAACAAAAUUUUCAAUCUCAACCUUCCGAUAUCGUCAUAUGCAGUGCACCGAAAACUGGAACAACAUGGUUAAAGUCCCUCACUUUCGCCAUUGUCACAAGAACCACCUUCGAUGAUUCCACUAGCCCUUUACUUGCCAAUCUAUCACAUGAUUGUGUACCCUUUUUAGAGGUUGAUUUAGCCCAAUCUUCUACCAAUCGAGACCCUAAAAAUCCUUUGUUAGCCACACAUGUCCCUUACUCUUCUUUACCAAGAUCAAUAAUUGAUUCCAGUUGUAAAAUUGUUUACAUUUGUAGGAACCCUAAGGAUUCAUUCGUUUCGUUUUAUCACUUCAUUGCUAGGCUCUCGGCAUCCAAAGACAUGAAGCCCGUUGCUUUAGAAGAGGCCUUUGAGCUUUAUUGCCAAGGUGUAAGCAAUUAUGGACCUUAUUGGGACCACGUUCUAGGGUUCUGGAAAGCAAGUUUGGACCGACCUGAUAAGAUUUUUUUCUUGAAAUACGAAGAAAUGAUAGAAGAUACUGUUUUAUACAUUAAGAAAUUAGCUGAUUUCAUCGGUUAUCCUUUCUCUUCUGAAGAAAUCAAAAAAGGGUCAGUCGACAAGAUCGUAAGCAUGUGUAGUUUCGAGAACUUAAGCAAUUUGGAAGUGAAUAAAAGUGGCAAACAUCGUGAAGGAACUCCAGGGGUGAUUGAAAACAAGAUCUAUUUCCGAAAAGGUAAGGUUGGGGAUUGGGAGAAUUAUUUGACACCUGAAAUGGCUGCUCAGUUGGACUCGAUAACGUUACAGAAGCUAAAUGGUUCAGGCUUAACUCUGUGAUUGAAUCAUAAAGCAACCAUGGGGUACAUUGUCCCUUCUCUGCAAUUUCGACAUAUUGUGUUUCUAAAAAUAAUUUGCGUAUGCUUUUUGCAAGUAGCAACACUUCUCGUGUUGCUCAUGUUAAGAUCAAUAAAAAGUAUAGUUGGUUCAAUUGAAAUCGAUUCAAUUAAUAUAAUUUGAUAUAAGUGAUUUGAUUUUGUUAUUUUAAUUUUUAUGGAUAUACUACACCAACUGUCCUAAGCUUUGUAUCAAAAUUACAUUUCGGUUACCCAACUUUUAAAAUUUAUAUCAUAGUCACUAACAUUAUCAAAUUGUUACAUUUUUGUCACUCGACUACUGUUAACUUCUGUUAAAGAAGUAACGUUGCACCUUAAUUCAGAAGGUUAAUAGUUAAUUUGGUACCUGAACUAUAGUUAAAAAAUUAUUUUCAUAUUUAAAUUUUUUUUUACAAUAAUUGUAAAAAAGUAAAAAAAAGUCUUAAAAAUAAAAUUCAUAUAAACAAGAAACAACUAAGAAUUUUGCUACUGUCUUUGCUCUCUCUCUCUUUUUUUUUUUUCUCUUUUUUCAUGCAAGUCAACGUUGGCUCCGCUCUUCCCUAAUCUUUAAAAAUAAUAUAUAUAUAGGUUUUAUUUAUAGCUAAAAGUAAAAUAUUGACUUGAAAUUUGAGAGAAGAAAGGUGGGUUUGGAGAAGAAGAAUAGCACUUUGUAUUAUAAAUUUAAAAACGAAAACCCAAUCAGUGUAACACCCCAAACCCAACCUAGACAUUAUGGCUGAAUCUUGAAGGUUACAUUAACUUCUUGAGAAUUUAGAUUGUUAUUUUCUGAAAUGUCAACUUGUUUUUCUGUAAAAGUAAAUUCUUAUAAAAAAACACGUUUUCACUUAUUAGUUGCAAAAAAAAAAAAAAUCCAUUCUACAAUAAGGGUUUCUUUAAAACAUUUGUUCUUUAGUACUAAAUUGAAAUAAUAGACCUAUAGUGAACUCGCUUAUUUUUCAGAAAAUUAGAUUUCUCAUUUUGUUUUGCAGUGGAAAAACUUUUACUUGUAUAAUUUUGAAAAUCGAACAUUUUUUUUAAUUAACAGAAAUCAUGUAGAAAAUUUAAACUAAUUAACUAAAAACUGAACAAAACCCAAAUCCAAAAUAAAAGUUCAAAAAUUAGUUCGACAGUCCAAAAGUCCAUAAAUUUUAAUUAAUAAUUAUUUAAAAUGAUCUUAUGCAAGAAAACUAAUACGAGCUCCCGAGUGCCGCCCAAUCCUAAUCCCGUGGGUUACCUGAAAUAUUAAGCAAGUGGGUGAGCUAAAAAGCUCAGUGUGUGCCUUACUCUACCCGUAAACAUGGACAAAUAACUCUACCAGUAAACAAUUCUACUAGUUGAAACAUGGAAAACACAACAAACAUAAUUUUGACCAACAUAAAGCCCACCAAUUUAAAUGACCCAAUCACCCUUCAAAAACCUAUCAAUACCUUCAUCUACUUAGCUUAAAAUUAGAUCAUCUAAAUUCCAAAUUAAGGCCACUCAAUGCAUAAGGUUGAUUUUAAAGGAGUUUUAUAGAUGUGAUUUAAAAGCACUAAAAUCACAUGGAUGAAUUACAAAAAUUUUACUGUGUACUCGUGAAAUAAAGUAACUUUAUUUACAUAGACCAAUUUUUAUUAAAAUAUUUGCACUCAUAUCCCUUUUUGGUUUAUUUGAUUAUUGUUAUAAAAAAAUUGAAUCGAUUUAGUGCACACUUUAUUUUUUUUUCACCUUCUAUUUUUUUUCAUGAUCUUAUUGAUUCGACCAUAAAAUUUUUUUAUGAUAUGGAAUAAAAUUCUAAUCUAUUAGAUGUGAAUUGCUCUAAUCUAAGCAUAAUUAUUGUACAAUUUUGUUAAAAAAAUACUUUAUUUUAUGAAACUAUAUAUUUUGAAAUAAUUAUGAAUAUAUUAAUAUUAGUCUGUUGAUGUGAACAAUUAUUUUUAAAACUUUUAUAAGAUUUUUUAUUUUUUAAUUUUAAAAAGUACACACGUUCUUUUAUUUGAGUUAUCAUGUUACUUUCAUUAAAAUAGUACAAUUAAUUUUUGUGUAAAAUUUAAAAAUGCACUUCACCUUUUAAAAAUAAAAAAAUGCAUAGGACAGCACUAACUACAUUUAUUUAUUAAUUUAGUUCCUGUAAUUCUACUCGAAUUCAAGAAAUCACGUGGUGGACAUAAUAAAAAACUGAUAUUAAAAGCAAAUAAUUCUCCACACUAAGAUCACAUGGUUGAAUUAAAAAAAGUUGAUUGCGUAAUUGUGAAAGAACUUACCUUUUCUCUAAAGCUAUUUAUAGAUCCAAUUUUUGUCAAAAUACUUGCACUCAUUUCUCCUUUUGUUUUUCCUUUAUCAAAAUGGCCUCCUUCAAAGAGAUCAUCUCAACACUCCCAAGAAGAAAAGGCUGGACUGACUCAAAUAACGACCUUUUUUUGUAUCAAGGCUUCUGGUGUUACUCGUUUUUCAUUGAAGGAGUGAUGUCGGCUCAACAAAAUUUUCAAUCCCAACCUUCCGAUAUCGUCAUAUGCAGUGCACCGAAAACUGGAACAACAUGGUUAAAGUCCCUCACUUUCGCCAUUGUCACAAGAACCACCUUCGAUGAUUCCACUAGCCCUUUACUUGCCAAUCUAUCACAUGAUUGUGUACCCUUUUUAGAGGUUGAUUUAGCCCAAUCUUCUACCAAUCGAGACCCUAAAAAUCCUUUGUUAGCCACACAUGUCCCUUACUCUUCUUUACCAAGAUCAAUAAUUGAUUCCAGUUGUAAAAUUGUUUACAUUUGUAGGAACCCUAAGGAUUCAUUCGUUUCGUUUUAUCACUUCAUUGCUAGGCUCUCGGCAUCCAAAGACAUGAAGCCCGUUGCUUUAGAAGAGGCCUUUGAGCUUUAUUGCCAAGGUGUAAGCAAUUAUGGACCUUAUUGGGACCAUGUUCUAGGGUUCUGGAAAGCAAGUUUGGACCGACCUGAUAAGAUUCUUUUCUUGAAAUACGAAGAAAUGAUAGAAGAUACUGUUUUAUAUGUUAAGAAAUUAGCUGAUUUCAUCGGUUAUCCUUUCUCUUCUGAAGAAAUCAAAAAAGGGUCAAUCGACAAGAUCGUAAGCAUGUGUAGUUUCAAGAACUUAAGCAAUUUGGAAGUGAAUAAAAGUGGCAAACAUCGUGAAGGAACUCCAGGGGUGAUUGAAAACAAGAUCUAUUUUCGAAAAGGUAAGGUUGGGGAUUGGGAGAAUUAUUUGACACCUGAAAUGGCUGCUCAGUUGGACUCGAUAACGUUACAGAAGCUAAAUGGUUCAGGCUUAACUCUGUGAUUGAAUCAUAAAGCAACCAUGGGGUACAUUGUCCCUUCUCUGCAAUUUCGACAUAUUGUGUUUCUAAAAAUAAUUUGCGUAUGCUUUUUGCAAGUAGCAACACUUCUCGUGUUGCUCAUGUUAAGAUCAAUAAAAAGUAUAAUUGGUUCAAUUGAAAUCGAUUCAAUUAAUAUAAUUUGAUAUAAGUGAUUUGAUUUUGUUAGUUUAAUUUUUAUGGAUAUACUACACCAACUGUCCUAAGCUUUGUAUCAAAAUUACAUUUCGGUUACCCAACUUUUAAAAUUUAUAUCAUAGUCACUAACAUUAUCAAAUUGUUACAUUUUUGUCACUCGACUAUUAACUUCUGUUAAAGAAGUAACGUUGCACCUUAAUUCAGAAGGUGUAACAGCCCAAUUUUUAGUAGUGUCAGAAUAGUGAUUUGAGAUCACUAAAAUUGAUGAAAAAGUUAGAAAAAUUUAUUAAUUAAUAAUUAUAAGUUAAGUGUGAUUUUAGAAAUAUUUUUAAAUCAGUGAAUUUUGUGAUUUAAAAGAAAUUAUUAGGUAAAUUGGGUUGAAAACGAGGUAUCGAGACCUUGAUAUUAUAAACUGAGCCGUAAAUAUUUAUAAAAAUAUUUACGGAGUGUCAACAGGAUAAUAUUAAAGUUUCGUUAAGAAAUUUUAACGCUUUGAUAGUUAAUUAUGAAAAAGGACUAAAUUGAAGUAAGGAUAAAAGUUUAAUUAUAGAUUAAAGAAAAGUUAAAGGACCAAAUAGGCAAUUAUGCCUUUUUCUAAAGUUGAGGCGGCAUAACAAAAGAAAAAUCUAAGAUAUUUUUAAUUUAAAAAUAUAUAUAUUAUAUUAUACAUGCGUAAGUAAUAAUUAUGUUUUUAUAUUAUAUUAUUAUUAAUAUAUUAUAUUAUAUUAUAUUAUAUUAUAUUAUUAUUAUAUAUAUGACAAAGAAAGAAAGAAAAGAAACAGAGAGCAAAACAAAACAGAGAAGGGAGAAAGAAAGAAACAGAGAGCAAAACGAAACAGAGACGGAAGGAAGGAAAGAAAGAAAGAAAAGAAAAGAAAAAGGGAAAUUUGGGGUUUUAAGGUUCAAAGUAAUUUGGUAAGUCAAUUUAAUCCCCUUUUCUCUUAAUUUUGAUAUUUUUUUUGAAAUCCUAGAGCAAAAUACUACUUGAUUUAAGUUGAAAUUUUGGAAGUUAGUAGAUUAUUAAGCAUGGUUCAUGUUGAAUAAAUUGUUAAAUUAGGGAUGUAUUUGAUAGAAAUUUUGAUUGGAAUUGAAUAAAGGAUUGAAUUGUAAACUAAACUAUAAGUUUUGAAUUUUAGGGAUUAAUUUGAAAUAAAUUCGGAAUUAUGAAAACAUGAUAAAAAUUAAAUAGUUAAAUAUGAGUUUAGUAAGAAAUUGGGUAGAAUAAGGGUAUGAAUUGAGAAAGAAAAAUAUAUAGGUUUAGUUAGGGGUUAAAUUGAUUUAAUUUCAAGUUAGAAGUUAGUAAAGAAUGUAAUUGUAAAAUAAAAUAUAAGUUUUGAAUCGAUAGGGAUUAAAUUGAAAGAAUCCCGAAAUUAGGGAUUUAUGGUGAAAUUGAGGAAUUAAAUUGACUUUAUAGUAAGAAUUAAGAGAGAAUAUAGAGUUAGAUUGGGAAAAAUAAAAUUAGUAUUGGUAAGGGAUUAAAUUAGAAUUUGGGUAAAGUUUAGGUAUAAAAGGAAAUAUUUUAAUGAAAUUGUGUAUUAAUGAUUUUUAAUUGUUUAAUUACGUAGCUAAUGUCGUGUACGAGUCAUUGUCCGAGAAAGGAAAGGAGAAAGUGGACAAGGAGUGACUCGAGAGAAAUUACGGUUAGUAUUACUAUAAUUCGAAUUUAAUUAUUAAUCGUUGAAAAUUAAAUUAAUAUACACGAUAAGCAAAUUGAGGUGAGUUUCAUAAUUGAAUUGAAUAAUAUAUAUACGUAUUGAUAUUGAAUUUAUUGACAGUAAUUAUUGAAUUUUGAAUAAUAUGUUAGUAAAUAAAAAUAAGGAGAAUAUCAAUAUUUAAUUGAAUGAAUUAAAAUAUGAAUUGAAUAAAUGAGAUAUUAAAUUGAGAUAUGUGAAUAUGUGAAUUGUGUAUUGAUUGAAAAGUGGUUUGAAUUGAAUCGAAGUAUGAUUAUAUGUGAAUAUCUGAAAUAUGUAUUGGUAUUGAAUUGUAUAUUGAUUUGAAAGUGGGAAGUGAAUCUGAGUUGAAUUGCGAUUAAAUCGAAAGUGAAUUUGAAAUAGAAAAAUGUAUUGAAACAAAUGGUGAUUAAAUGGGAAUGAUUUGAAUUGAAAGUAUGAGAAAGUGAUUGAAUUGAAAUGUGAUUCGGAAACCCUAUUAACUAGUCGGGCUGAGUCGGAUAUAGUUGGCAUGCCAUAGGAUUGGAAGAGUUCAGGGAUACUUCGACCUUGAGUCGAUGAGACACUGGGUGUCACUAUAUUUCUUCGGAUAGAUUCGAUGAGGUACUGGGUACCAACUUUACUUCGGCUGGGCCGAUGAGACACUGGGUGUCAACUAUUGCUUCGAACUAUCCGAUGAGGCACUGGGUGCCAUUUUGGUGUGUUUGGUUGGAUCCGUGUAUCCGCCAAGGUCCGAGUCUUGUUAAUAGGGGUAAAUAAUUGAAAUGAGAAAAUUGAAUAAAUGUGAUUGAUUGAGCUAUGGGAAGAAACGAAAAAGUGAAGUUGUGAAUUGAUGUGUGAAUUGGAAAUCGAAAUAAGAGAUUUAAAGAUAUGAGCCCAAAGUUCAUGAUGUGAUAAAGAGUAAAUUUUGUUAUAUGAUAUUAGUGAGUACAAAUUGCAAUAAAAUUUAUAUUGAAUAUAAAUUAAAUGAAAUGAAUUGUAUAUGAAUUGAAAUGAACUAUUGGAAUGAGAUGUAAAGAAAAAUCCGAUGGAAUUGAGAUAGUGAAAUAAGGUAUGAAUACAAUUAAAUACAAGAUUUGAAUUAUAGCUUAUUGUUAUUAAUUAUCAAGUUGAUUUAAUGCAUGAGAUAAUUAAUGAAUAAUUGUAGACAUAAAUAAAAUGUAUAUAAUUUAUCGAUUAAUGUUAUUAAUUCGAAUUAUGGUAAUACCACUGAGUAUUUCCAUACUCAGCGUACGGUUGUUUCCGUGCGUAGGUUAGGUCAAAGUCGGAUUGUUGAAUCAGCAUCCAAAGCCGAUUCUGAGCUAAUUGUGGUGGUGAACAUUUCUUUUAGUUAUGGCAUGUAUAGGAAUUUAGUAAUUUUGUAUAUUUGUAAAUAUGAUUUUACUAUAGAAUGAUGUGUAAGUAUUUGAUGAUGAAUGGUUGUUUAAAUGGUCAAGGAUGAAGUUAAUUAUUGUUAUAAAAGUCUAAGUGAUAAAUUAGGUAUGAAAAUCAUAAAAUGGUAAAAUUUUGCAAAGAAACAGAAUUCAGGCAGCAAUAGUGACGUAACUUUGAAAAAUCACCUAGGAUAGUAUAAAAUGAAUUAGAGGGUGAAUGAUAUAUGAAAUGAAAUAUUAUUGAGUCUAUUUUUAUAUAAAAAUAACGGUUUAGCAAAAAUAAAUUUAUAUUUUAAGAUAUGUGAAUUUUAGUGAGAAAUGGUCAGAUCUAUUUCUGGAGUCCCCUGUUCUGAGUUUAGAAAAUCACUAAAAAUGGUAUAAAAAUAUUUAUGAGUUGUAGUUUAUAUGUGUAGAAUCCUUAUUGAGUCUAUUUUCUGUAGAAAUAAGUGGUAAUAUCAUAUGAAAAUCCUAUAAUGAGAAAAUUUAUUUUUAGUACCAAGGGGUCAGGACAGUCGAGUGAAGAAACAGGGGAGAAUUUAACUAAUAAAAUGUAUUAAUUGGUCAAACCAAGAAUUCUUAAAAUUUUAUGGUAGAAAGAUAUAUGAGUCUAGUUUCAGGAAAAAUUUACGAAAUUAAAUUUGGAGUUCCGUAGCUCGAGUUAUAAUCAAUUUAGUAACUGCUGCGCGAUUGGACAGAUUACUGUAAACAGUGAAAUUAAUUUUUAAAACGAAUUUUUAUGCCCCGAAUUAGUAAGAUAAGCUAAGUAAUGCCUCGUACUCGAUUCCGGCAACGGUCUCGGGUAAGGGGUGUUACAGAAGGUUAAUAGUUAAUUUGGUACUUGAACUAUAGUUAAAAAAUUAUUUUCAUAUUUAAAAUUUUUUUUACAAUAAUUGUAAAAAAGUAAAAAAAAAAGUCUUAAAAAUAAAAUUCAUAUAAAAAACCAGUUGGAGCAAGAAACAACUAAGAAUUUUGCUACUGUCUUUGCUCUCUCUUUUUUUUUUUCUCUUUUUUUCAUGCAAGUCAACGUUGGCUCCGCUCUUCCCUAAUCUUUAAAAAUAAUAUAUAUAUAGGUUUUAUUUAUAGCUAAAAGUAAAAUAUUGACUUGAAAUUUGAGAGAAGAAAGGUGGGUUUGGAGAAGAAGAAUAGCACUUUGUAUUAUAAAUUUAAAAACAAAAACCCAAUCAGUGUAACACCCCAAAUCCAACCUGGACAUUAUGACCGAAUCUUGAAGGUUACAUUAACUUCUUGAGAAUUUAGAUUGUUAUUUUCUGAAAUUUCGACUUGUUUUUCUGUAAAAGUAAAUUCUUGUAAAAAACUUGUUUUCACUUAAUAGUUGCAAAAAAAAAAACCCAUUCUACAAUAAGUGUUUCUUUAAACAUUUGUUCUUUAGUACUAAAUUGAAAUAAUAGACCUACAGUGAAAUCGCAUAUUUUUCAGAAAACUAGAUUUCUCAUUUUGUUUUGCAGCGAAAAAACUUUAACUUGUUUAAUUUUGAAAAUCGAACAUUUUUUUAAUUAACAGAAAUCAUGUAGAAAAUUUAAACUAAUUAACUAAAAACUCAACGAUCUUAUGCAAGAAAACUAAUGCGUGUAACACCUCGACCCGCGUCCGUCGCCGGAUUAGAGUUACGAGACAUUACUAAACAAAGCACACAUUCAAAAACACAUAAAACCCAAUUUAAACAAAAUUAUCAUGAACAAGCCAUUUUUAAACCAAACCGAUCACAAGCAUGGAAAUUAAACCAUUUUCGCAUGGCUAUUUAUAUAUUAUGAUCCAAAACUAACCAAAAACAUAAUCAAGCUUAUACAUGCCAUAAGAUUGAGUUCAACUUUAACAAAAUACCAAAAGAAGUCGAUAGUGUGAUAGACUAUGCUGGUGAUUCCCGAGCUCGUAACGCGACUCCAAAAUCUAUAAAACAGAGGUAAACAAAAACACACACAGUAAGCUAUUAAAGCUUAGUAAAUCUAAAGCUUAACAAAUUAUAUAAAGAAUAAAAAAAACAAUUAAACAAGUUCUUGGUAUAUCUAUUGAAUUUUAAAAAAAAAUCACAUAUAUAUUGUCUUUUGAAUAUUUGCUAUUCAUAAUCCCCUUAUUUAUAAUCAAACAUAUGAAUUCACAAAAUGCAAAUCACUAAACUCAUAUAUAAAUAUAAACAAUAUGAACACCACCAAUUUAUAUAUAUAUAUAUAUAUGCAUUCGUCAAAAGUCCUACUUACGAAUGCAUUACAUAUUAUUUGUAUAUAAUCAUAUGCAUACGAAAUUUUCAUAAUUUAAAACUUAAUCUAUAUACAUUUCAAUUAUGAAUAACCGAAUGCUUAUGUAUUUGCACCUAACAAAUUAUCAUAACCAAAUGAAUAUACAUAUACAUCAAAUAAAUAUAUUCAGAUAUAAUCACAUUUACCAAUAUAUAUAUAACACCGAGUACAAACAUAUUCCUUAAAAACAUAUACCAAAUGCAUAUAUAAAUUUACUAUAUGCAUAUAACCAUAUAUAUAUAAUUUCAUAUAUAACAAGUGCAAUAAACCGUGUAUAUAUAUAAAUAUAUAUAUACUCUCCAAAUAUAAUAACAAGUAUUUAUCUGCUCGUCAAACUUAUUUAUCAAAUAUAUAUGCUUGAUCUUCAAAUAUAUAUAUUAUUGACAUAUCAUGUACAUAUUCAAUAUAUUGAAUCCAGUAAUAUAAUCACCGGUAUUUAGCCUGCUAGGUUGUAAAACCUGAUUUAAUACACCGGCUUUUAGCCUGCUAGACUUAUAGUCCGAAUAAUUUCACUGGCAUUAAGCCUGCUAGACAAUGAGUCUGAAUUAUAUCACCGGCAUCAAGCCUACUAGACAAUAAGUCUGAAUUACAUUCAAUCACUUUAUAUUAGUCGUUCAAACUAACAACCUCAUAUAUUCAUUUCCAUUCAAGAACUUUCGCAUGAAUAAAUUCACAUAAUCGAAACUUUCUUAAACAUAUAUAAGUUCCAUACCUAAAUUCAUUUCAAGAACAUAUAUGCAUAUACUUGCUUCAUCGCAUUUCAUAAUAUCUUACACAUAUAUCCUACCUAAAUUCGGAUUUAGUACCUAUUCAUGUAUGUAAACAUAUCCAAUCAAAUAUAGCAUAUACAUAUAUUUUCAACUCACACGUAAACAUACCUAUUCAAUACUACAUAUAUACUCAUGAAUUACAUGUCUUAAAUUAAUCCCAAAGGUUUAUACACGUAUAUACAUAUAUAUGUAUAUUCGAACCUUAUAUAAUAACAAGUUAUAAAUACCUUUGAAUCUAAACCAAGAAUUUAUACAUAUUCGAAUCUACCAUAUAAAUAUAUAAAUUCAUACUCAAUUUCAAAACAAGAACUUAUACAUAUAUAAUGACAUAUCUAAAUUCAAUACACAACACAUACACGUAUAUUUGCAUGCUUAUUCGAAUAUAUAUAUACAAUUAUAACAUACAUAUCACAAAUCAAAUCCAAGAGUUUAUAUAUAUAUUUAUAAUCAUUCGAACCUUAUAUAUAUACAUAUAUCUUAUACAUAUCUUUGAUUAAUCUAAUAUUUUAUACAUGUAUAUACUUAUAUACCGUUUAUACUUUAUCUAAAUUUAAAGGUUUAUAUAAGUAUAAACCUAUAUAUAUAUUAGAACUUUAAUAAUACAUGUAUAUCAUUCAUACUUUAUUUUAUUUCAAUCAAUAUGCUUUUAAAAUAAAGUUCAACAAAAUACAAUACAUUUACAUACCCAUAUACCGAUUUAAUAACAUUAAAUAGCUAAUAGACUUACCUCGGACAGUGAAAAAUUAAAAUCGAAUAAUUAGUCGACAAUUUUGGUUUUUCCCCGAUCUAGCUCCGAUUUCUUUGGUUCUUGAUCUAAACAUAUUCAAAAUGAGCUAGUUUAAAUAUUAUUAACUUCAAUUUAAUCCAAAAACACAUAAAUGGGAAAAUUACAAAUUUGCCCCUAAUAUUUUACAUUCAAAUUUUUACUAUACUAAGGUUAGGCCGAAUCUUCAUUAUACUCAUACAAGUCCAUGCAUUUCAUUUAUUUCGUAUUUUAGUCCCUCAAAAAUUUAUUUUCACAAUUUAACUCUAACUACUCAAUUUCACCAAAACUUCCAAUACAAAACAUAUUAAUCUAAAAUAUAUCUUUCAUUAUUCAUCAUCAAACAUCACAUAACACAAAUGUUCAUCAAUGGCACAACUCAAAAUAUUCAUCAAAAUUAAAAAUUCAAACAUGGGUCGGAUAGUAUUCGAAACAACGAUCUCAAAAACGUAAAAAUAUUCAAAAAAUCGAACAAAGAACUAACCUUAAUCAACAAUAGAAAUGCCGAACCCUAGAAAGCCAUGAAUAAAUUCCCAAAGUUUCCUUAUUCGGCCAAAGAGAUGAAAAUGUCUUAUAAUUUCUUUACUUAUUUUAAUUAUAAGAUAUAAUUUAAUAUUUUACUAAAUUAACCUUAUUAUAAUAAAUACUUAUAACAUAUAUAUUUUGGACAAUGUUGUCAUAUACCACCCACUAACUAAAUCUUGGUCUAAUUACAUCUUUAGACCUCCCACUUAAAAAGACAACAACAAAUAGGUGCUUUUAAAAUUUAACCUCUAACUUUUAUUUUACGCGAUUAAACCCUUUUCAUCGAAUUAAACCUUCAAACGAUUAAAUUUCCACACGAAUUUUUCACACCUAUAACUUAACAUAUAAUAAACACUAAAAAUAAUAUUAAAAUAUUUUUUGACUCGAAUUUGUGAUCCCGAAACCAUUAUUCCGAUUAGGGUCAAAAUCGGGUUGUUACAAUGCGAGCUCCCGAGUGCCGCCCAAUCCUAAUCCCGUGGGUUACCUAAAAUAUUAAGCAAGUGGGUGAGAUAAAAAGCUCAAUGUGUGCCUUGGCCCACACACAUAAAUCAUAUAAAAAAACAUGCACAUAUGCAAAUAGCAGAACAUACAAAAGAAAUGUUAUAACAUGCUUAGCAUAACAAAGUUAUACAUAUUAAUCCUAUCCCCAUCCACUACACACCAGCUCCAUCCAUCCAAUUACACCAAUUAGGGCUAUUAGAACCCAUCCAUCCAUCACACCAAAAUGUGGUCAUAUGCCAUUCAAAUGAUAGGUAGCUAUGUUGCCAUAAGUAUAUUGAGGAAAUACCACCAAAGUUAUUUAGUGCAAUUAAACUGCCAAAAUCAUACUGCCUCUAUCACAAAACCAUAUCCCACCCCAAUGCAUAUGCAAAGACAUACCUCAUGUUCAUAUAUAACCAUAAGAAUUAUGCCAUACAUAAGUAAGAGAUAACAUAAAAAAAAGCACACUAAUUAGCUUACUUAGAGCUUUCUUGAUCAGAAUCAUACUUAGGCUAAUAUACAUACACAUAGGUUUACGGAUUACAUGACCUAGAAUGCUUAUAGAAUAUUUGUACAUAAUGUUAUUUACAUAUCAGAGUCCUGAACUUAACAAAUCUCUUUCAUUUGGCUUGAAAAUGGCCCAAUUUAACAAUUCAAAGAAGGCCCACACGACUUACCUACCUAGAUCGUGUGGCCCACACACCCUACUUGAACAGGCCAUGUGACUUACACGCCCGUGUGGCUCACACAACAGAGCACACAGCUGUGUGGCUCACACAGCAGAGCACACGACUGUGUGGUGUCGUGUAACACCCCUAACCCAUGCUCGUCGCCAAAAUAGGGUUAUGGAGGAUUACCAAAGUUUUCAAAAUAAUUUCAAUUAAUUUAUAUCAAUUACUGUUCAUAAUUGAAAUUAAUUAUAAAUCCAUCAUACAACAAAAUUAACGUUCUAAACCCAUUUGAUACUUAUAAUUUAUUUCCAUACAUUAAUAUAGGCAAUAAAACAAUUCAUUUGCUUCAAUUUGGUCAUUUUGGAUAUUUUUACAAAAUUACCCCUAAAAUUUUGUUUUUAUUCAAUUUAGUCCCUGAGCCUAAAACAUGUAAAGUAGCUAUUUUUAAAAUAAGCUCAUACUAGAUGAAUAAUCACAUAUAUUUUCCUCCUCCUCCACUCCAUUCCACAUCCUUGAGAUAUAUACAUAAUACCACUAUUUACUUGUAUACUCAUAACAAGCUGUUCACUUGAGUCAUAGUCACUAAAUUAAUCAUAUCUUGAGCUACAAAAUUCUAAAUCAAGAUCCAGUUAAUGUUUUAGAAACUAGACUCAAAUAUAUUUCUACUAUAAAAAUUUCAGAAUUUAUGAUUCAGCCAAUAAGUACAGUAAAAUCUUCAAAUUUAUCCCCAUUCUGCUAUUCGAUAGCUUCGACAUUUCUUUACUAAAAAUUAUUUAUCUCUUAGUACAAAAUUCGGAUGAUGUUCCCAUUUAUUUUUCUUGAAAAUAGACUCAUUAAGAACUUAAUCAUACAAAUUUAAACCAUCCAAAUAUUUUUAUACAAUUUUUAAUGAUUUUCCAAAGUCAGAACAGGGGAAAACAAAAUCAUUCUGACCUUGUCUCACCAAAUUUAUUAUAUCUCAUAAUUUACUAUUCCAUUGCUUACACCGUUUCUUCUAUGAGAAACUAGACUAAUAAGCUUUAAUUCCAUAUUUUUUUAAUUCUUAAUUCGAUUUUCACAAUUUAUGAUGAUUUUUUAAAGUUAGCCUACUGCUACUGUUCAAAAAUUGUUUUAGUGCAAGAUGUUGAUUACCAAGUUUAUAACUCUCUUAUUCCCCUUUUCUAUAAUAUUUCCCAUCACUUUCUCUUAUUUCCCUUCACUAAUAUAUCAAGAACAUAAAACAUUAUAUAAGAAAACUCUACUAUAACAUAAUUUCCAUGUUUUUUCAAUAAUAUCAAACUUAAAAAAAUAUAUUGAAAUCUUGAUGUUCUUACCUUGUCCUAAUGAUUUCAACCAUUAACUUGAUUUUCUCUCUCCUCCAGCUUCUAUUUCUUGAAUCUAACUUGAUUUUCUAGCUACCCAUAGUCUCCUUCUUAUCUUUCUCUCUUGAUGGCUAUGGAAAUUCUUUUGAUUUCUAAGUGAAAAUGGUGAAUUUUUGGUGAAGGACCAAAUUGUAAAAAAAAAGUUUCUUUUUUCUUUUCUCCUCAUACGUUGGAAUGCAUGGGAGGUUGAUGAUGAUUCUUCAUCUUUCUUUUCUUAUAUAUACUAAAUAAAAUAAUAAUAAAAUAAUAAAAUAUCAUUUAAAAAUCAAAUUAAAAUAUGAAUAAACUAAUAUUUAUUUAUUUAAUCUAAAAUAUCUCCAACAUCAUCAUUAUGUUCUAGAUUUCUCUCUCUUCUAAUUGAUCAUUUUGUCCUUUAUGAUCUUUUAAAAUUCCAUCCUUGAGUCAUCACUUAAUUUGGUAAAAUUGCCAUUUAAUCCCUCAUAAUUCUUCACCUAUUUAAUUUGGUCUUAAUUCAUCCAUUUUCCUUAAUUUCUAGAUCAUUCUAUCCUUAAAAUAUUUGCACUAUUGGUCCUUCAACUUUUUCAUAUUUACAUUUUAACCUCUCAAAUUUGAGUAUUUACUCUUGAACAAUAAAACUUUUCUCACUUUUAUGAUUUAGUCCUUUCUUGAAUUAAUAUAUCAUAAUAUAUUUCCAAAUGUUGACAUAACUCAGAAUUUCCCUUUUUGUCACUUUAUUUCCUUAUUUUACUAUAUCAAGGAUAAUAUCUUACUAUAGAAAUUUUCAGGAUAUUACAUGUCGACUGCCACCUCCGGGCUUUCAUGCAUUUUUCAGUUUCCAUGAAUUUUUCAAAGUUUUUUCAGGUUAAAACACACACCUAAUUGCUAACAAAAGAUCGACGCUAUUGCAACUAAUUCAGUUUUGCGUACGACAACAAAAUCGAACCUAUUAGCAAGACCAAAUCUGAAUCUAGGCAUUCGGCACUUGUUUACUAAACAAAACCAGCCCCUAAUCUUGGGCAUUUGAUAGUUACCCAGAAAAAUAGCAGUCCAACACACCUAAUUCGUCGGAGGAAAGUUGUGCGUCUCACGAUCUUUUCCUAACAAAACCAAAAACAACCCUUUUAAAAAAACAAAUGGAUUACAAUUGCAAAAUAAAAAAAAAUAAAAUAUGAUACUAUACUGAAAAUAUGAAGCACGCAUGACUAGCAACAAGAACAGAGAAUUAGCAAUGACACUAAGAAGAAAUAAGGUCUGGUCGCAAAAAGAGAAAGUAACCAAAAUAUUGCCCAUGAAAAGGAAAAGCAAAGGAAGAAGAUGAAAAGUAAGAGGGGAAGAUUAUUCAGCAACAAAAGUGGAAAAACAAAGAAAAGAAAGAAAGUGGGAGAAGUGGGGGAGUUGGACGACAGGAAGGAGAGAAUUUUAGGGAUAUAAAAAUCAAUUCUAUUUUAGGCACUAUGGGAUUUGAAUUUGAAACUUAUGAGUAAGCUAAAGCCUUACCACUGAACCAACAAGCUCAUUCUUACUAACAACCCAUAAAAAAUUAAAGAUAACCUUAACGUGACAAGCUGGGUGUAGGAAUAAAAAUACUCAGAAUUCAAGGAAAAGGAAUCGAGCGCAGAACCUCAAGAACACAACCAAAACAUUUAACCACUGAACCAGAUCAAUUUACUUGACAUAAAUAAUUGCCCAGAAAUUAAAGAAUUUUGGGGCAUUAUAAUCAAUCUAGUUGAUGUCCACGGAACUAACUAAAAAUUUGACUAAGGCAAGUGUACUUAUAAAUUAAUAGUAUAGUUACGGUGAUCAAAGAUAUCGUUCCCACGAAGAUAAAAAGUACUAGUAAUUAUCGUCUUUUUAUUAUUUAACCGAUAAAUUCGAGUGAUUGAUUAACAACUAAAAUUAACUAAAUUUAUUAACUAACAAACAAAAAAAAGAACAAAACAAGAAAAUAAUCGAUUAACAACCAAGAAGCGAAACAAUACCUAGGAAAGAAUUCACCUAGACUUCAUCUAUCACUAUCAAUCUAAAUUAUGCAAUUUAUUUACUUAGUAUCUUGAUCCGUAGAAAUCCCUAAAUUAUGCUAAUAUCUGUUUCGAGAGUAAGAGUAACUGACUCUAGGUUGAUUAAUUGGAACUUCUUUAAUUUCUAAUUAAAACCCCUAUUAUCGCAUUAACUCGAUUUAUGGAUUCCCCUAUUAGAUUUGACACUAAUCUGGUAAAUUUAUGUCAUCCUACUCUUAAACAUGGUCUAUUCCUCCUCUGAUUUAAGCACAUCAAAUAUGAAUCAAUAAUUUAGAAAUAUCAAACCAAGAAUUAAGCACAUUUAAUUGAGAACAAGAAACUAAGUAUUUAUUGCGUAAAAUAAAAUCAAACGACAGAAUCCAUCAUAGGGUUCAUCUCCCUACGUAUUUAGAAAAUUAGUUCAUGUUUGAAAAUAAAAACAUUCAAGAUUUAGUAUAACCACAAGAAGUAAAGAAACUCAUGAUGGCUUCCUAAGAAAUCAAAUGCGAAUCUUCAAUCUUAACGAAAAUCUGCUUCAGAAUCCGCUUCAAUGGUAUUUUUCGAGUUGUUUUCUUGAAUAUUCAAUGGCGGCUCACUCCUAUCUUCUUAUUUUUGUCCUAUAUUCGUCUUAGAAUGCCCGAAAAGCCUAAAAAUUACGUUUUCCACUCUUUAGAGAGCAAAUCCGCACAAUCGACAUGGCUUACCACAUGGCUGUAUGGUAGCUCGUGUGGGUCACACGACCGUGUGGAAUGGGUCAUCCCGUGUGGCUCUUGUAGCUUGAUCUGAUUUUUGCUCCUUUUGCUGCUCAAUGCUCUAUUAAGCAUAAAAGCAUGAAUUUAAAGGAUUAGGAGUAUAAAAUUUACAAUUAACAUCGAAUAAACACCCAAAAAACACAUUAAGAAUGAGUUUAAAAACAUGUUACUUUUAACACCUAUCACUAGUAAUUGAAGUUAGAGAAAAAAGAGAUGAAUUUAAAAAAGAAGUAGGUUACUUUGUAUUAUAAAUUAAAAGAAAAAAAAUCUCAAAUUUCAAAAAAUUGAAACUUACAAAAAAACCCUAGACAAAUACAAUAUAAUAGAACCUUUUGCUCUUCUCUCUUGCCGGAUAGGCUGUUGAUGGUAGAAGUUUUUAUGAUUCCCAAAAAAGGAAGCACCAUUACAAGCCUAAAUUUUGUUUCUAGAAAAUUAGAGCAGCAACAAUCAAUCUAAUAAUUAUAAUUAGUUAGACAUUUCUAGAUAAUAAAAAAACUAUUACGUGCCAACAUUAUGAACUACUAACAAUAUAUAUUUAAAGGUUAAAUUUUUUAUACAUAAAACGAAUAUUUAGAAAAUUUUAAUUUAUGUCAAACUUGACAUGCAUGAUCUAUGUAACUCCCCUUAUUUUAUUUUUUAAGUAUUGUAUUAAUAAUUUUUAUCUUACAUAUUUUAUUUAUGUUUUUUUGGGUACAUGCAUAUUUUAUUGCCAAAAAUAAAAUCUUUAUGUUAAAAAUAAAAUUAAGGAUUCAAAACCAACUAUUUUGUCAAAUUAAAUUUAUAUUUGGUAAACAAAUGCAUUUAAUUUUUUAUUUUUUAUUUUUUUGCAAUUAUCAACAAAUUCUAAUACCAAAUCUUUUAAAAUAAUAUGAAAAUUUCUAGUGAUAAAUUUCUUGCAUGGGACAAAACCAUUACCGUCAUUAAGCACUAGCUAUGUUUUUUAAAAAAAAUUAUUUAGUCACUAUAAGUUGACUCCCAAUUCACGAAAUUAGGUGGUGGAUAUGAUAAAAUCUAACAUGCAUACAUAUAUGUUUAAAUCAAACCAUAGCCUCACUUCAAAUAACAAAAUAAAUUCUAUUAACUUGUAUUCACAAUAAAUUUGUUGACAAUUUAUAUUAUAUAUCAAUUUCGUUUGAAAUGUGAUCGGUGCUCCAUCAUCCCUCAAUAAAAUGUGUUUUAGUGAAAUCUUAUAAUGCAAUCUAUUAGGGAAGUUGUUGUUUCUCGUUCCAUGUAUCUGUUAGAGUUGUGUGACCCCAAUUCUAAGAGAUUGCUUGCAAGUCAAGUUAAACAAAAAUAUAUUUUCUUUCUAGAAGAUUUAGUAUUUAUUAGUAUAACAUAUUUAGCAUUUAUUAGUAUAGUUUAUUUGACUUACUAAUUUAGCCUAUAAAUAGGCUCUUUUACAAUCUUAGAAAAACACACCCAUUAGAUUAGAACUCAUAACACAUUCAGAGAAUUUUGUGUUUACGUUUUGGGGGUUCUUUGUUUUUUGGAUUUUCGGGGUUUAGUUUUAUCUCCAUCUUUUGUACUCUUCAUUCUUUUGCCAUUAUAAUAAAAUUAUCUUUGCCCGUGGUUUUUUAUCCUCUUUGGAGGGGUUUUUCCACUUUAAAUUUGUGUGUUCAUCUUCUCAAUUUCUUCUUCUAUUUUUACUUGUUUGUUGCUUAAUCGGGACGAUCCUAACAGUAUCGUUAUAACAGACAUGUUUCUUUUCUUGGGCCAUUGUUUUCGGCUCUAUAUAGGUUUUGAUUGCGCUAAGUUUGAUCCAUUUAAUUAUGGCAUGCUUGACAAAACAAUAGCAUGCGUCGAUUAGAGAUCUUAGUCACCCAAUCGACUUCCUUGAGGUGGUUUAAUAAGUAUGGAAGUCUUAUUAUAUCUUGAUGAUUAAAGUCUUACUUUUAAGAGAUAAUUAUUAGCCUUAUUCAAGGAGUUUCUCAAAGACUUAUUAGCUAUUUUAAAGGAGAAUAUUUUGUUGCUUUCUAAGCCUAUAAAUAGGCGACAUAUUCCCUUGGGAAUGGUAAAAUUUUAUAAGUUGAUUUCUUCAGAAAGUGUGUGCAACUUGUGUUUCGAUAAGCUUGUGUUUUUCUUUCUUCAUUUGAUUAUCUGCUUAGUUGAUUAAGGUGUUUGUUACACCUAGUCGAAUCACUAUUGAGUGACCAUUGUGAGUUGUGGGAUUAUUAGUUCUUUUUCAAGGUUGUGGUAGGUGCUAUAAGUAACAAGCUUUAGUUUUAUUCUUAAUGUGUUUUUGGGUGAUUAUUUGAUAUUAAUGGUGAAUUUUAUGCUCCUAAUCCUUUAAAUUGAUGUUUUUAUAUUUAGGAAAGCAUUUGAGAGCAAAAGGAGCGAAAAACAAGCAAAAAUCAGAAAAUCGGAGCAAGUUACAAGAGCCACACGGGUUGGACCAUUCCACACGGCCAUGUGGCAAGCCAUGUUGAUUUCAUAAUUUGCACUCUAAAAUUGCGGGGAAACGUGAGUUUUAGGUUUUUCGAGCUUUCUAAGAUAUAUAUAUGACAAAAAUAAGAAGAUAAGAUGAGCUGUCAUAGAAUUCUCAAUAAAACAACUCGAAAGACACCAUUGAAGCGGAUUCUGCAGUAGAUUUCCAUCAAGAUUGAAUAUUUCCUUUUGAUUUAUUUGGAGAUUAUUAUGAGUUUCUUUGUUUCUUGUGGUUAUAUUGUGUUUUGGAUGUUUUUAUUUUCAAGCAUGAACUAAUUUUCUAAAUACCUAGGGAGAUGAAACCUGUGAUGGAUUCUGGUGUUUGAUUUUUAUUUUACACAAUAAAGACUUAGAUCUUAUUCUCAAUUAUGUGUGCUGUUCUUAAUUAUGUGUGUUUAAUUCGCGAUUUAAUAUUUUUAAACUAUUGGUCCAUGUUUGAUGUGCUUAAAUCAGAGGAGGAAUAGACCCUGUUUAAGAGUAGAUCUAGCGUAAAUGAGUGGAGUUGCAUGCAAUCCUAGAAAUAAGAUGAAAUAAAUCUACCAGAUUAGAUUCAAAUCUAAUAGGGGAAUCCAUAGAUUGAGGUAAUGCGAUAAUAAGAGCUUUAAUUAGAAAGAAAUUUUAAUUAAUCAACCUAGAGUUAGUUGCUCUUAUUCUUAAAGAGAGAUAUUAACAUAAUUUAGAGAUUUCUAUGGAUCAAGAUACUAAGUGAAGAAAUUGUGUAAUUUAGAGUGAUAAUGAUAGAUGAAAUCUAGGUGAAUUCUUUCUUGGGUAUUGUUUUGCUGCUUGGUUGUUUACUCCAUUAUUUUCCUGAUUUGUUCUUUGUCGCGUUCGUAGUUAAUUAAUUUAGUUUAUUUUAGUUUUCAAUCAAUCAUUCGAAUUUAUCGGUUAAAUAAUAGAAAGACAGUAAUUACUAGUACUUUUAGUCCUAUGGGAACGAUAUCUUUGCUUACCAUAGCUAUACUAUUAAUUGAUAGGUGUACUUGCCUUAGUCAGAUUUUUAGUUAAUUUUGUGGACAUCAGGCUGUAUAUGCUUGCUUGGAGAAAAAGUUGUGAGCUUUAGGCAAUAGGGAAGAAGUGUACUCUUGAAAUAGUUGGUGAUUGGAUAAAAAAUCUAAGCGAGACUCCACAAAUGUAGGACUAUUGUGUCUAAACUACAUAAACAAAUAUUGGAUGUGUAGCUUCUUUUCUUUUAUUGUUUUUCAUUACGCUACCUUUUUCGUUCUAAUUGUCGUUACAACGAAGUCUAAGCAAAUUUGAUUAAUCGUAUGUGUAAAUUACUAAUUAAUUUUCAGAAUCAAACUUUUUUAUUCAAUCAAUCAAUAACUAUAUUAGGAGAAAUAUGACCAACAUAAGUAAAUGGAAAAAAGCUUCAACCCUUAAGUGCAAUUUUUAAUUCAAUCAGUCUAAUAAAUCAAUCCUAUUUAAAUAAUAUUGAGUAUGAUUUAGUCUACCCCUCUCAAUCACCCAAAUAACCCAACUCUCCCUCCGGCACAUACUCAAAUAACAGGUAAAUCAUUUUCCUAAAAGAGAUUCACAAAAUCCACUUUUUUUUUGUUUAAAAUAAUCAUAUAAUAUAUAAUAUGGUCAAACAUUUCUAGAUGAUUCAGCUUGAUUUUCUCACACUUACAAAUUUAAAUUUUAAUGACCAAUGUUUAAUCAUUCUAUUAGUCCCUAUACUGUAUGGAAGCAUUCAAUUCAAUCUUUACAUCUCAAACAUCCUUAAAAUAUCUACAUAAAUUUAUGGGUGGGUGUUCAUAAGUUUAAAUUAUAGUUAAUUUCAUAUCCUAAAUAAGCAAAUGGCUAAAUACCCAAAUGAUAUUAUCACCCAUAAAUCAAUUUUUUUUUUUUGAAUGUAUCACACAUGAAUCAAAAUUAUUUACUUUGUUUUGUUGCCUCCAAAGCAACCCUUCUCAAUUCAAAAUUCAAUAAUAUAAUUAAAUUAAAUGGAAAAAAGAAUUAGAUAGUAAACCAAGAAGAUUAGUCACUAAACCAACAAAAUUAAUAAAAACUAAACAAUUUAAAGUAAAAAAGGAACAUGCAAAAGUAGUUUGAAAUUAAAAUAAACAUAUAAAAAAAUUAAAAAGAAAAACACUCACCAAAAGAACAAGAAGAAGAAGCAACCUUCCACACUUGUAAAACAUUUUCUACUAAAAAGAAAAGAAAAUUAAAUAACACCUUAAAACUAGAGUUACCUCAUGGCCAUGCUGGUUCGAGUUUAAAUCGGGUCUAAACAUUAUAUUAAUAUAUUUUAUGCUUGUCUAAGCUUGACCCGAUCUAAAAUAUGAGUCUAAAAUUUUGUUUAAGUUCUUCUGUCUUUGCAAAAGAUUAACUCAAGCUCAUUUUAGGCCCGUCCAUAUUAUUUUUAUUUUUAAAAAAAUAUUUAUAUUAUAUUAAUUUUAAUUUUAUAUAUUUUUAUUUAUUGAAAUUUUUUAUAUAAACAUCUUAACAUUAUUUUAUGUUUACAUUAUAAUAGUAUUAUAUAUUUAGUAUAGGUUCUUUUAAUGUGUUAUAAAUUAAAUAAUAUAUAAAAAUAACAUAAUAUAAAACAUUAUAAACUUAAAAAUGGGCCGAGCUUAGGUCUUCAAUAUUUAAACCCAAGCCUGAACUAUAUUUUAAAUGGGCCUAAUUUUUUUUCUAAGCCCAUUUUUCAGGUCUAAUAUAUUUAUCCAAACCUUCCCAAAUUUCAGUCGGACUUUCAAACAUGGACAAAUAACUCGACCCAUAAACAAAACAUGGAAAACACAACAAACAUAAUCUUGACCAACAUAAAGCCCACCAAUUUAAAUGACCCAAUCACCCUUCAAAAACCUAUCAAUACCUUCAUUUACUUAGCUUAAAAUCAGAUCAUCUAAAUUCCAAAUUAAGGCCACUCAAUGCAUAAGGUUAACUUUAAAGGAGUUUUAUAGAUGUGAUUUAAAAGCACUAAAAUCACAUGGAUGAAUUACAAAAAUUUUAUUGUGUACUCACGAAAUAAAGUAACUUUAUUUACAUAGACCAAUUUUUAUCAAAAUAUUUGCACUCAUAUCCCUUUUUGUUUUUUCUUAUGAAAAUGUCUUCGUUUAAAGAAAUCAUAUCAACGCGUCCAAAAAGAAAAUGUAGGGAUGAUUAAGUAACAAUUUGUUCCAAUACCAAGGCUUUUGGUACUACUUGCUUUUCUUCGAAAGAGUGAUGUUAGCUCAACAACAAUUCUAUUCUCAACGUUUCGACAUCAUGAUAUGCAGUGUGCCAAAAACCAGGACAACAUAGUUAAAGUCCCUCACCUUUGCCAAUAUAACAAGAACCACAUUCAAUGAUUCCUUUAACCCUUUACUUACCAAGCUAUCACAUGAUUGUGUACCCUUUUUAGAGGUCGAUUUAGCCUAAUCUUCCACCAAUCGAGAUCCAAAAAAUCCUUUAGUAGCCACACAAAUCCCUUACUCUAUUACCAAGAUCAAUAAUUAAUGCCAAUUGUAAAUUUGUUUACAUUUGUAGAACCCUAAGGAUUCAUUUGUUUCCUUUUAUCAUUUUGUGGUUAGACGUUUAGCGCCUAAAAACAUUAAACCUUUCCUUUAGAAGAGGUCUUUGAGCUUUAUUGCCAAGGUGUAAGCUUUUAUGAACCUUAUUGGGACCACGUUCUAGG